AACGAACGCUGGCGGCAUGCCUAACACAUGCAAGUCGAACGAGCCCUUCGGGUCUAGUGGCGCACGGGUGCGUAACGCGUGGGAACCUGCCCUUAGGUUCGGAAUAACUCCCCGAAUGGGGUGCUAAUACCGGAUAAUGUCUUCGGACCAAAGAUUUAUCGCCUUUGGAGGGGCCCGCGUUGGAUUAGCUAGUUGGUAGGGUAAAAGCCUACCAAGGCGACGAUCCAUAGCUGGUCUGAGAGGAUGAUCAGCCACACUGGGACUGAGACACGGCCCAGACUCCUACGGGAAGCAGCAGUGGGGAAUAGUGGACAAUGGGCGAAAGCCUGAUCCAGCAAUGCCGCGUGAGUGAUGAAGGCCGUAGGGUUGUAAAGCUCUUUUACCCGGGAUGAUAAUGACAGUACCGGGAGAAUAAGCCCCGGCUAACUCCGUG
rnacentral:rRNA from 1 species